ACGGAGGCGCCCCCGGAAGCUCCCUCUUUUCUAGCCUUGGCUCUGCCCUGACCCCGCGUGACUCCGUUCCUCUCCUUCGGCCCUUGACGUUUUAUAAGGGUGGCCGGAAGACCUCAGAGAAGCCAUGGCAACAAAGGGCCUUGUGCUCAGUAUAGCAGAGCAUCCUGCUUUUGUCCGAUCCAGCCCAAUGCGUCAGUCUCUGCAAACAACAAAAGAUGUGGCACCCAGCUGCCUGUCCCUGCCCCCACCAGAGCAUCAAGAAAGGGUGAGGACUCUCUGACUGGAACCAAGCUAGGAGAGCAGCAGACAGAGCUCUGACAUGGAGUGCCAGCAGUGAUCUUUUAUCUUUGAAGAUAGUAGCUGCAUAAAGAAUGAUGAAGCAGAAAAAUAUUAGAAGCCU